GACGCACCAUUUCCACUUUCGUA
rnacentral:siRNA from 1 species